CCCACCCCGCUCCACCCCUGACCCUCCAGGCGCGCCGCCACAGUCGUCGUCGCUGUAGAGAGAGGGAGCCGCUCAGAUCGCUCCCAGUCUAAGCCGAGCCUCCACAUCUCGCAUGAAGAAAGAGAUAUGUGCGUCACUUCCUCCAUCCUGUACAGGAAGACGUUGUAUCCAACCAUGCCGUCGCCGGGCCCACGCAGGCAGAGGCGCCCUCAUAUUCUGCCGAGGGCGAAGGAGACCACAAGAGAAAGCUCGAGGAGGUUGACGCCGGCGCGAAGGUGAACGACGACGUGGAGGAUGCGUGGAAGGCAAUGGCAUGACUUAGUUUCUCCAACACCUUGCCCCUCUCUAUCCACGUGUGUGUUGUAUUGUACCUACGGUUUAGUGUCUUAAGCAAUGAUUCUAGCAUGUCAAACAUGGUCGGCUUUGUGUUAAGCUUGGAUUGGAAUCCAUCUGAUCCGUUCAUUAUCUCUAUUGGGAUCAGACGUCAUUCAAAACAGAGAGUCCUCCGAGAAGCCUGAGGAGCCAUGACUGAAUUACCGCUACAACAGCAAAAAAUUGCUGCAACCGGUGACCAGCAGGAGACUCCCCACGUAAUUGAUGUGCCCAAUACAAAGGUUGAUGUUCUAAUAUGAAAAGCAGGUGAAACGAUCAGAAACCUAUAAAUGAGCAAAGGCGCGAAAGAUUCAAAUUACAAAGGAUGCAGAUGUUCCUUCAGAUUCCAUUACUCGUCCGAUUGAAUUGUUCGGAACACAUGUGAGUAUUGCCUAGGCUGCAGCGUAGCUUAUUAAGAGUGUUAUAACUGAUGUAUGCUAAAGGUAAUCAACUUUCUCAUGGGUUUGUAGUAGUUCACUUUAGAUGCAUUUCUAUCCAUGUAGUUACAUCUCUAAGGCUCCAUCUAAUACAUCUAUUUGCAGGUUGAAGAUGGUGGUUCCCCUACCUUGAUGGACAAAGGUUUUGGGUCCACACAGUUAGGUUCAGAGCAGUUUCAGAGUAGAGCCUUGUUUCUUCUUCCUCAUCACGCAUGUGUUGGGGCUCCCCUAACAUCGACCUCGACCUCAAGUAGUGGUGCCCCUCUCAUGGCCGGUUUAAGCAGCGUUCCAAGGCAGACUACCAUCAGGAUGGACACCAUGCUUCUGCCCUACAUCCACCGCUGGCAUGUCGUCCCCUGUAGGUUCAAGUAGGGGCGAGAGGGACGACAUGGAGUAGCAGUGUAGCACUCAUAUAUUGCCUAUGUCUUUCACUUUAUGAUUCCAAAUCAGAUUACCCUGUCAAGGUCAGUAGUGCUCCUUUUUGCUGUUUCUUGUUAUCAAUAUUUUAGUGCCACUUCUAAAAUAUCAAAUUACCAAUCCUUCUCCAUACAUGUAGUCUUACAUUUCUAUGUCCUUAAAUAUUUGUUAUGAUCUGUUUAGUUCGUACAUAAAUAUUCAGAAAUAGUUCAAUGCGUAAUUCAUGAUUAAAAUUUAUGCUAAUUAGGCUUUAGUUUGGUGCCACUAUGAUUCUUAGACUAAGCUUGGCUUGCCUAUGAUAUAAUAUCAUGUAGAGAUUUUGCUGAAUUCUAUGUGAAUAAUAUAGACAAAUGGAUAUUGGAUUUUUGGUGAAUAAUAUAAUAUAUACAAUCUGUUGACAUGUUUGGAAUUGUAAGCACAUUCAUCAUUUCUUAAGCACUGUUAAAAGGUCGCAGCAACAAAAUCUUCUCUUAAGCUAACAUGAUUUGCAUAAUAGAAUGUUUACUUUUGGGUUAAGGUACAAUUUUCCUACUGCUAGCCGAUUUUCGGUACAGAUUAUGAAUUUGAUUACCAAAUGUUUUCUGGCUAUUAGCAACAACAUUUGUCAUCAUUAUUCAGUGUACAAUUUUUCAUGUGUUUUACAAAAAUCUCUGGCAGGAUGGAGAUCUGACAUCACUAAAGUUAUGAAAUUUCUAACAUUACCAAGCCAUAAACGAUAGUUAGUAGUUUUCCUGUAUUUUAUGAGAUCACCAUGUACACCAGCCUCUUGUAAUUUGACAGAGACAAAAAAAAGUCAGACUUGACUUCUUCUGUUGCUAACAAAUAUAUGCAUGUAUAUGCAAAAUGAACUAUAAUGUUUCUUGCA